UACGGAGGGUGCAAGCGUUAUCCGGAUUCACUGGGUUUAAAGGGUGCGUAGGCGGCUUAAUAAGUCAGUGGUGAAAGCUCGCAGCUUAACUGUGAAACUGCCAUUGAAACUGUUUAGCUUGAAUCUGGUUGAAGUGGGCGGAAUACAACAUGUAGCGGUGAAAUGCUUAGAUAUGUUGUAGAACACCGAUUGCGAAGGCAGCUCACUAAGCCAACAUUGACGCUGAGGCACGAAAGCGUGGGUAG
rnacentral:rRNA from 1 species